rnacentral:rRNA from 1 species
GCAAGUCGAGCGAACAGAUGAGAAGCUUGCUUCUCUGAUGUUAGCGGCGGACGGGUGAGUAACACGUGGGUAACCUACCUAUAAGACUGGGAUAACUCCGGGAAACCGGGGCUAAUACCGGAUAAUAUUUUGAACCGCAUGGUUCGAUAGUGAAAGACGGUUUCGGCUGUCACUUAUAGAUGGACCCGCGCCGUAUUAGCUAGUUGGUAAGGUAACGGCUUACCAAGGCGACGAUACGUAGCCGACCUGAGAGGGUGAUCGGCCACACCGGAACUGAGACACGGUCCAGACUCCUACGGGAGGCAGCAGUAGGGAAUCUUCCGCAAUGGGCGAAAGCCUGACGGAGCAACGCCGCGUGAGUGAUGAAGGUCUUCGGAUCGUAAAACUCUGUUGUUAGGGAAGAACAAAUUUGUUAGUAACUGAACAAGUCUUGACGGUACCUAACCAGAAAGCCACGGCUAACUACGUGCCAGCAGCCGCGGUAAUACGUAGGUGGCAAGCGUUAUCCGGAAUUAUUGGGCGUAAAGCGCGCGUAGGCGGUUUCUUAAGUCUGAUGUGAAAGCCCAUGGCUCAACCGUGGAGGGUCAUUGGAAACUGGGAAACUUGAGUGCAGAAGAGGAGAGUGGAAUUCCAUGUGUAGCGGUGAAAUGCGCAGAGAUAUGGAGGAACACCAGUGGCGAAGGCGGCUCUCUGGUCUGUAACUGACGCUGAUGUGCGAAAGCGUGGGGAUCAAACAGGAUUAGAUACCCUGGUAGUCCACGCCGUAAACGAUGAGUGCUAAGUGUU